AGAAGAAGAGGGAGAAAGAAGUAGAAAGGGAAGGAGGAGGAGGAGGAGGACAAGGAGAAGGAGAGGAAGGAGAAAGUGGAUUUAUGUGAGCACAGAGAGGGUUUAGCUCAGGGGGAAAAGGCACAGAAGAUGAUGAUUCAUUUUCAGCAGAGUUCGGUGUUUCUAUGAGCCAUGAGGGAAGAUUGGAGGAGCAAGGAAAGGCUGGAAAAGGAAACGGGGCCCUGAGAAGCAGCUCAGGUUCCAACCCCAGCCAUUCGAGCAGCAGAAAAAAAACCCCCAAACCUUCAAAAGGUCAUGAGAAAAUCCAAUCCCAUCCCAACUCAAAGGCAGAUUGAUAUUUCCUCUUCCACUUCUGGGAUUCAUCCCUGCCUUUCCUAUUAAAAUUAAUGCUGGGAGCGCGUCCCGGCUCCUGGGCA